rnacentral:rRNA from 1 species
GAAGGGUGCAAGCGUUACUCGGAAUUACUGGGGCGUAAAGCGUGCGUAGGUGGUGGUUUAAGUCUGCUGUGAAAGCCCUGGGGCUCAACCUGGGGAAUUGCAGUGGAUACUGGGUCACUAGAGUGUGGUAGAGGGAUGCGGAAUUUCCGGUGUAGCAGUGAAAUGCGUAGAGAUCGGAAGGAACAUCCGUGGCGAAGGCGGCAUCCUGGGCCAACACUGACACUGAGGCACGAAAGCGUGGGGAGCAAACAGGAUUAGAUACCCUGGUAGUCCACGCCCUAAACGAUGCGAACUGGAUGUUGGGUGCAACUUGGCACCCAGUAUCGAAGCUAACGCGUUAAGUUCGCCGCCUGGGGAGUACGGUCGCAAGACUG